UGAAAUGUUCUAGGCAGUGUUCUGACUUACUGAGCCAGGCCCAGUACCAUGUGGCCCGGGCACGCAAACAAGAUGAAGAAGAGCGGGAGCUGCGGGCCAAGCAAGAGCAAGAAAAGGAGCUGUUAAGGCAGAAACUUCUUAAAGAACAGGAAGAGAAACGUCUCAGAGAAAAGGAAGAGCAAAAGAAACUUUUGGAACAGCGGGCCCAGUAUGUGGAGAAGACCAAAAAUAUUCUUAUGUUUACUGGUGAGACUGAAGCAACAAAAGAGAAGAAAAGAGGUGGUGGUGGUGGACGGCGUUCUAAGAAGGGAGGAGAGUUUGAUGAAUUUGUCAAUGAUGACACUGAUGAUGACCUACCUAUAUCCAAAAAGAAGAAGAGAAGAAAGGGUAGUGGCAGUGAACAAGAAGGUGAAGAUGAGGAGGGUGGUGAGAGAAAGAAGAAAAAGAGGAGAAGGUAAUGUCAUCAUUAAUGUGCUUUAAGUAACCUCAUAAAAGUGGUGAAAGACCUUUUACCUUCUGAAUCUUUUGAUGUUUAGAAUUGAUGAACACUUGAUCCAAACAGUGAAGCUUUUUGUGCCCCCACUUCCUACUUUA
rnacentral:lncRNA from 10 species